UUCAUCUUGGAUACACCUGGCCUGUCAGCGACUUCAUUUGAGGCAAAUGUCAUCACAGCAUACACUCUUUCCUGAUACCCUCUGUGACAGCAUCUACCUCAACAGAAGCCUGAUUUUAAACAUAGGUACAAACAUUAAAAAAGAAAGUCUAGGGGCGCCUGGGUGGCGCAGUCGGUUAAGCGUCCGACUUCAACCAGGUCACAAUCUCGCGGUCCGUGAGUUCGAGCCCCGCGUCAGGCUCUGGGCUGAUGGCUCAGAGCCUGGAGCCUGUUUCCGAUUCUGUGUCUCCCUCUCUCUCUGCCCCUCCCCCGUUCAUGCUCUGUCUCUCUCUGUCCCAAAAAUAAAUAAACGUUGAAAAAAAAAAAUUAAAAAAAAAAAAAAAAAAGAAAGUCUAUCCCACCUGCUGUGCUGAGCAAGGGUGGCUUGGACGGGAGCCAGAGAAGUGAGGACUAAUGAUCUGUUUUCCCUUUGUGCCAGCCCCCAGAUAUACAGGUCCCUGAGGCAGCAAGGGCAGAUGAUCCAGGAAUUUGUUAGCGAUGCAAAUUCUCAGGCCCCACCCUAGAACUCCUGACUCUCCGGAAACUCAGGUCAGCCCAGCAAUCUGUGUGUUAAGGAGUUUACCGAGCCCCCCAGCUGAUUCCGGAUGCUCGGUUUGAGAACCACUGCCCCAGGCUCUACCUACACGGUCAAGCCUGCUCAAGCUCCUUUCAGGUUAGGAACCACAGCCUCAUCACAGCCCCCGCGGCGGCUUUCUUCCAUUGCUCUGAGUGGGAAAAUACAAAGCGGACCUUUCCCACUGUAUGAGUUUGCUAGAGCUGCUAUCCCCAAACCCCGAAGACUGGGGCACUUCAACAGCAGAGGCUGGCUUUGUCGCGGUUGUGGAGGUUGGAAGUCCAAGGUCAAGGUAUUGGCACGCUUGGUUUCUUUUGAGGCCGCUCUGGCUUUACAGGCCACCUUCUCCCUAAGCCUCCACGUGGUCUUCCAUCUGUGUCUGUGUCUCAGGGUCCUCUUCUUCUAAGGACAGUAGUCAGAUUGGAUUAGGGCCCAAGCCCCAUCUCCAAAUACAGUCACAUUCGGAGGUGUGAGGGGUUAGGGCUUCAGUUAUGACUUCAGGGGAACAGCAUUCAGCCCAUGACACUCAGAGAAUAAGCGCUGACCGGGCAGCCUUCAGUGACAUUCCUUCGUACCUUUGUCACUGCAGAUACUGCCUCCCUGUCCUGCCACACGCUGACAACAAAACCGGAAGGAGCUCUUUAACUCAGGGCUUUAUCAAGACAAUUAAAAGACUGUAAAUGAUUGAUCUCAUGUAAUUCAGUAAGAAAUGGGCUUUUCAGUUUACGUGGUAUAGUUAUACUUACAUAUAUACAUUUGAAAGGGCUGUGCAGUAAAGUUCCAGUAAAAACACAACCUAAUAAAAAUAGGUAAAUCUUUAAACUAUUGUGGCUA
rnacentral:lncRNA from 1 species